rnacentral:rRNA from 1 species
UACGGAGGGGGCUAGCGUUGUUCGGAAUUACUGGGCGUAAAGCGCGUGUAGGCGGCUCGAUAAGUCUGCUGUGAAAGUUCAGGGCUCAACCCUGAAAUGCCGGUGGAAACUGUCGAGCUAGAGUACGGAAGAGGUGAGUGGAAUUCCUGGUGUAGCGGUGAAAUGCGCAGAUAUCAGGAGGAACACCAAUGGCGAAGGCAGCUCACUGGGACGUUACUGACGCUGAGACGCGAAAGCGUGGGGAGCAAACAGG